AGAGUUUGAUCCUGGCUCAGGACGAACGCUGGCGGCGUGCUUAACACAUGCAAGUCGAACGGAAAGGCCCUUCGGGGUACUCGAGUGGCGAACGGGUGAGUAACACGUGGGUGAUCUGCCCUGCACUUUGGGAUAAGCCUGGGAAACUGGGUCUAAUACCGAAUAUGACCAUGCGCCUCCUGGUGUGUGGUGGAAAGCUUUUGCGGUGUGGGAUGGGCCCGCGGCCUAUCAGCUUGUUGGUGGGGUAAUGGCCUACCAAGGCGACGACGGGUAGCCGGCCUGAGAGGGUGACCGGCCACACUGGGACUGAGAUACGGCCCAGACUCCUACGGGAGGCAGCAGUGGGGAAUAUUGCACAAUGGGCGCAAGCCUGAUGCAGCGACGCCGCGUGAGGGAUGACGGCCUUCGGGUUGUAAAUCUCUUUCAGCACAGACGAAGCGCAAGUGACGGUAUGUGCAGAAGAAGGACCGGCCAACUACGUGCCAGCAGCCGCGGUAAUACGUAGGGUCCGAGCGUUGUCCGGAAUUACUGGGCGUAAAGAGCUCGUAGGUGGUUUGUCGCGUUGUUCGUGAAAACUCACAGCUUAACUGUGGGCGUGCGGGCGAUACGGGCAGACUUGAGUACUGCAGGGGAGACUGGAAUUCCUGGUGUAGCGGUGGAAUGCGCAGAUAUCAGGAGGAACACCGGUGGCGAAGGCGGGUCUCUGGGCAGUAACUGACGCUGAGGAGCGAAAGCGUGGGGAGCGAACAGGAUUAGAUACCCUGGUAGUCCAA
rnacentral:rRNA from 1 species